rnacentral:rRNA from 1 species
CCGGCGCACGGGUGAGUAACGCGUAUCCAACCUUCCCAUUACUGUGGGAUAACCUGCCGAAAGGCAGACUAAUACCACAUAGUCUUCGAUGACGGCAUCAGAUUUGAAGUAAAGAUUUAUCGGUAAUGGAUGGGGAUGCGUCUGAUUAGCUUGUUGGUGGGGUAACGGCCCACCAAGGCGACGAUCAGUAGGGGUUCUGAGAGGAAGGUCCCCCACAUUUGAACUGAGACACGGUCCAAACUCCUACGGGAGGCAGCAGCA